ACUCUAACUCGCACCAUUCUCUUCAAUUCAUUGAAAUGUUCUUUAUUUUGUUGAUACCAAGGAUCGAGCUAGCUAACUAGUUAGCCUUGUUGAAAAUGAAGAAGACCACCAUUUCUAUUUCUCAGAAGGACCCUAAACGAAGGAGCUUAUUCUUUCGUUCAUGUCUCCUUUCUACCCUGCUUAUGCUUUCUGCAGUUUUCUUCUUUGGGAGCCAUUUUGUUGUCACAGAUUAUAAAGAGGCUCAAUGCAGACCUGAGGGAACAGAGGCAUUACCUAAAGGAAUUGUUUCCAAGACCUCUGAUUUUGUAAUGCAGCCGUUAUGGGGACCCCGAACUCCAAAGAAACCAAAGUCAUCAACAAAUUUACUUGCCAUGGCAGUUGGAAUCAAGCAAAAAGAAAGUGCAAACAAAAUUGUAAACAAGUUUCUAUCAAGUGAUUUCGUCGUAAUGCUAUUUCUUUAUGAUGGUAAUGUAAAUGAUUGGAGGGAUUUGGAAUGGAGUGGUCAGGCCAUACAUGUAUCUGCUAUGAAUCAAACCAAGUGGUGGUAUGCGAAGCGAUUCUUACACCCAGAUAUUGUUUCUGAGUAUGCAUUCAUCUUCCUUUGGGAUGAAGACCUUGGAAUUGAGAACUUUAAUGUUGGAAGAUAUCUGUCAAUUAUUAAAAAAGAGGGGCUUCAAAUAUCACAGCCAGCACUUGAUCCUGACAACUCAGAGGUUCAUCAUGAUCUUACAGCAAGAGACAAGAAAUCAGAAGUACAUAGAAAGUUAAACAAGACAAUUGGUGGUGGAAGGCGUUGCGAUGAAAAUAGCACAGAUCCUCCAUGCACAGGGUUUGUGGAAAUGAUGGCUCCAGUAUUUUCAAGAGCAUCCUGGCGCUGUGUGUGGCAUAUGAUUCAGAAUGACUUGGUCAUGCAUGGGGAUUGGAUUUUCAGCUUGGUUAUUGUGCACAGGAAUUGUUGAUUCUGAGUACAUUGUUCAUUACGGUCUACCUACACUACGGGGUUCUGCAGCAAACAAAACGAAUGCUGAAGAACAAGAUCAAGCUGCUAAAAAUACAAGCUUACCUACUUUAG